rnacentral:rRNA from 1 species
AGUGAACGCUGGCGGUAGGCCUAACACAUGCAAGUCGAACGGCAGCACAGUAAGAGCUUGCUCUUACGGGUGGCGAGUGGCGGACGGGUGAGGAAUACAUCGGAAUCUACUUUUUCGUGGGGGAUAACGUAGGGAAACUUACGCUAAUACCGCAUACGACCUACGGGUGAAAGCAGGGGAUCUUCGGACCUUACGCGAUUGAAUGAGCCGAUGUCGGAUUAGCUAGUUGGCGGGGUAAAGGCCCACCAAGGCGACGAUCCGUAGCUGGUCUGAGAGGAUGAUCAGCCACACUGGAACUGAGACACGGUCCAGACUCCUACGGGAGGCAGCAGUGGGGAAUAUUGGACAAUGGGCGCAAGCCUGAUCCAGCCAUACCGCGUGGGUGAAGAAGGCCUUCGGGUUGUAAAGCCCUUUUGUUGGGAAAGAAAAGCAGCAGGUUAAGACCCCGCUGUUCUGACGGUACCCAAAGAAUAAGCACCGGCUAACUUCGU